CAGGGCUGACAGCCGCGGCGCGGGAGGCGGGGCACUAGGAGGGCGGAGGCGCGGAGCAGCGAGGGAGGAGCUGCCGCGCGCCCGCCACUGCCGCUCGGCUCCACACAGCCGGCGCAGCCCAGCCACGAGACUCUGACAGCCGAGCGGCCCGCGCAGCUCCGGCGCACAGGGACGGACGGACCGCGGCGGCGGCGAAGGCGGACGCGAGGACAGCGGCCCGGCACCAAGUGCAGGAGGCGCGCGGGUCCGGCGGCGCGCAGAGGUCUCCUCUGAAGCAGCUGGGAACUCAGAAGGCCUCACUACCCAUGAGGAGUAGGCCAGCCAGGAGAGCAGUAAGGGAUGGCAUGAAGCCCACCAGGGCCUGAGGAGUGAGCGCAACCUGCAGCUCGUUGGACCUGGAGCCUCCAAGUCGGGAGACUGUAUCACCGGGGAGACUCACGAAGAAUUGAUACUUCGGCCUCAAGUGACAUGUACACGGUGUGAUGACAGGAAAUGAGCAGGUUUGCAGAAAAACUGCUGGCCUGAAAUUUAAGAAGAAGGCGUCGUUGCUUGUGAGUCUGAAUUUUGCUUUCU